UAUGGCAGACAAAGUGCAAUGGAUUUAAAAUCCUACUAUAAAGAUCCACCCCCUUUUAUUAAAA
rnacentral:tRNA from 1 species